UCUUACUUAAGUGGAAAACGAUGUGAAGUUACUUAAACAACCAGGAGGUUGGCUUAGAAGCAGCCAUCCUUUAAAGAAAGCGUAAUAGCUCACUGGUCUAGUGAUUUUGCGCGGAAAAUAUAACGGGGCUAAAGUAAGUACCGAAGCUGUAGACUUAGUUUACUAAGUGGUAGGAGAGCGUUCUAUUUGCGUCGAAGGUAUACCGGUAAGGAGUGCUGGAGCGAAUAGAAGUGAGCAUGCAGGCAUGAGUAGCGAUAAUUAAUGUGAGAAUCAUUAACGCCGUAAACCCAAGGUUUCCUACGCGAUGCUCGUCAUCGUAGGGUUAGUCGGGUCCUAAGUCGAGUCCGAAAGGGGUAGACGAUGGCAAAUUGGUUAAUAUUCCAAUACCAACAUUAGUGUGCGAUGGAAGGACGCUUAGGGCUAAGGGGGCUAGCGGAUGGAAGUGCUAGUCUAAGGUCGUAGGAGGUUAUACAGGCAAAUCCGUAUAACAAUACUCCGAGAACUGAAAGGCUUUUUGAAGUCUUCGGAUGGAUAGAAGAACCCCUGAUGCCGUCGAGCCAAGAAAAGUUUCUAAGUUUAGCUAAUGUUGCCCGUACCGUAAACCGACACAGGUGGGUGGGAUGAGUAUUCUAAGGCGCGUGGAAGAACUCUCUUUAAGGAACUCUGCAAAAUAGCACCGUAUCUUCGGUAUAAGGUGUGGUUAGCUUUGUAUUAGGAUUUACUCCGAAAGCAAGGAAACUUACAACAAAGAGUCCCUCCCGACUGUUUACCAAAAACACAGCACUCUGCUAACUCGUAAGAGGAUGUAUAGGGUGUGACGCCUGCCCGGUGCUCGAAGGUUAAUUGAUGGGGUUAGCAUUAGCGAAGCUCUUGAUCGAAGCCCGAGUAAACGGCGGCCGUAACUAUAACGGUCCUAAGGUAGCGAAAUUCCUUGUCGGUUAAAUACCGACCUGCAUGAAUGGCGUAACGAGAUGGGAGCUGUCUCAAAGAGGGAUCCAGUGAAAUUGUAGUGGAGGUGAAAAUUCCUCCUACCCGCGGCAAGACGGAAAGACCCCGUGGACCUUUACUACAGCUUGACACUGCUACUUGGAUAAGAAUGUGCAGGAUAGGUGGGAGGCUUUGAGUAUAUGACGCCAGUUGUAUAUGAGCCAUUGUUGAGAUACCACUCUUUCUUAUUUGGGUAGCUAACCAGCUUGAGUUAUCCUCAAGUGGGACAAUGUCUGGUGGGUAGUUUGACUGGGGCGGUCGCCUCCCAAAUAAUAACGGAGGCUUACAAAGGUUGGCUCAGAACGGUUGGAAAUCGUUCGUAGAGUAUAAAGGUAUAAGCCAGCUUAACUGCAAGACAUACAAGUCAAGCAGAGACGAAAGUCGGUCUUAGUGAUCCGGUGGUUCUGUGUGGAAGGGCCAUCGCUCAAAGGAUAAAAGGUACCCCGGGGAUAACAGGCUGAUCUCCCCCAAGAGCUCACAUCGACGGGGAGGUUUGGCACCUCGAUGUCGGCUCAUCGCAUCCUGGGGCUGGAGCAGGUCCCAAGGGUAUGGCUGUUCGCCAUUUAAAGCGGUACGCGAGCUGGGUUCAGAACGUCGUGAGACAGUUCGGUCCCUAUCUGCCGUGGGCGUAAGAAGAUUGAAGAGAUUUGACCCUAGUACGAGAGGACCGGGUUGAACAAACCACUGGUGUAGCUGUUGUUCUGCCAAGAGCAUCGCAGCGUAGCUAAGUUUGGAAAGGAUAAACGCUGAAAGCAUCUAAGCGUGAAGCCAACUCUAAGAUGAAUCUUCUCUAAGCUCUCUAGAAGACUACUAGUUUGAUAGGCUGGGUGUGUAAUGGAUGAAAGUCCUUUAGCUGACCAGUACUAAUAGAGCGUUUGGCUUAUCUUU
rnacentral:rRNA from 1 species